GGAAAUAGUCUCCGUGCUGCCGAGCCGCGGUCGUGACAUAUGUUUGCUGCAGGAGCUGCCUACCGUAUCACCGCGCUACCGCUGUGUUCCGAGGUUGUCACUAAAAAGCGAACUGGCCAGGUUUGAUGGCGAGCUACAGGACAUGUUAACCUGCCCGGAACUACAGCCAAGCUACCUCAGCCUAACAGCCUCACUGCCGGUCCUGGUAGGAGGCUCCUGGCAGCCAUAAAUAGACACUUAAGAACAUUGCCCAUACUGCCCCUACACCCACCAACACUCUACUCAGAUGGACUCUGCUGAUACACUCACUUGAACUAUUGACUCUCAUAGCCUGGAAGGGGGACAUAUUAAUUUGGGUCGUUUUAGGUUGCUUGUGGUCUAUGGCUUGGGGUUGAAUAUGAAAUGAAUUUGAAUACUGUGAAGCUGUGGUGAAUAUUGAACUGAAUUUCGACUCAAGUACUAAUUGCUAAAUGGUCAUUCAAGGAAACCAUAUUUUUUUUGCUUAAUAUUGUUUAUUUAUUUGUUUUGUUAAUUUAUUAUUUCAGUACAUGGUACCACACCAAAUAACAUUACUGCCUUUGUGUGUGUGAUUCACGACUGUCCACUUCCUCCCUGAGCCGAACCACCUGUCACCUAGCCUAAUUAACUAAUCAAAUGUAGCAAAUCAGUUGAGCUAGCAUUCAAGCUAGCACAGUCGUCUUUUAUUCAUAUAUGCUACACGUGCACUCUGCUCAGACACACACGGAGCAGCCACACACAUGCAAAAGAUAACAAAUAAAAAUAUGAUUACAUUGUGAAAGGUUAUUAUUGUGCACAUUAAAAUAUUUAUCAGAAACACAUCUUAAUGGUCAGUCAUUAAUCAGAAUGAUCUAAUCGCAGUAAUAAUGAUCAUCAUAAUUUGUAAUAAUGACAAAUGAAACUGUGAAAUUAUCUGACCAGUCAUGGCAACACACGUAGGUAUUUAAACAAGGAGAUCCGUCUCCUCAGCUGUAAAACGCUCACUCUUUCUAGAGCUUAGAUCGGACCCAAAAAAUCCAGCCUGACCCGGCCUGAGCCCGUGCACGUUAUGUCCGGGACCGGCCCAGCCCGUCCAAUUAACUGUAAUUAUGGGCCCGAGCCCGAUUUAAACCCGACAUUUUUCAAUAAGUUGGCUGUUAUAAUUAAGAGUAUUAAACCACAAUUCUUGUUAUUUGAAUGACAGAAAUAUCGGAUCUUAAUUAAUGGCGCAACACGGAAGCAUGAUUAUGUAAUAAAACAGGUGUUUAUUUUAGGAUCCAGGUGGUGAAGGGCUGUGCGUGCACAAUGUUGCAAAAUUGUAACUAACUUUGUUGUAACUUUAUGUGUCAUACAAAGUGUGGUUUGAUUUUACUUUUUAUAAUACUGUAGCGUCCGCCAGGACCUAUGGAAAGGAUGAUGCAGUUAUUCGGCAAACCACCGUUUAUUACUGAACAGUACAGGUUACUGUUUGCUGUAACCACGCCAAACCAACCAACAAACAAUAACUUAGCUGUAACUCCAACUGUGCACUGUUGCUCUCUCCUCCAGCUUGUUCCUACGCACACCAGCACCCUCACACAUUGCCCUCAUCCCCAUCACACUCGCACCCCGCACCUCAUUCAAUCCCAAACAUUCCGGCCCGACCAGGCUUGGGCCCGCGGGCCGGGUCAGGCUGGGCUCGGGCAGAGAAUCUAAGCUCUAACUCUUUCCAGUUGGUAGGUCCGCCAUCUAACUAGCUCUUCGCCAUGUGCUCCAAUUGCGCCUCUUUUAAAGGGAAUGAGAGGUGACACUCUGAUUGGCUUAUUGAAUGAUACGCCCAAAACACACCCAUGACUAAUUCACAGAGCAAGUCCACCCCUUUUAGACUCUCCGCCAUGGCGCACAGUCUAAAAACGUGCUGUCUAACUAGCAAGUGACUGGGACACGCCCAUGCGCCACACGCCUGGCGCAUCGCGUUUUAGACCAUCUAAAUAGGGGCCAUUGAGAUGACAUCACUGCAUAGAAUAAAUACCGAUCCAGGAAGCAACAUGUAUUUUACUAUGACACUUUGAUUUCAUAUAGAUGAUGUGGAGAAAUUGAAUGUACCAGUUAUUUCUAUUAAUUUGUUAUUGUAUAAUACAGAAAUCUGUCAUCUCAAUCUGCUGUGGUAAAAUUGAUGAAUUCACGGGUUAAAACUUUUAUGGUUUUAACAGGGAGUGUGUUAGUAGCAGAAUUUAUUAUAACUUUUGUAUUAUUACCCAAUACAAGUUACACUAGUCUUAUCAUAGAUAAGCCUGCUUAGAUAAAAAAAAGGAGUUAUGCUUUAUAUCACUGCAUAUAAGGUAACAGGUGAGUGCUGCUGUUGGUGUUUCGACAUUAUGUACUAAGUGACUAUAUUGUUAGAAACCUGUUGUACUCUGCAGCAGACGUUUCCAACUUCAUUCAGUCAGAGGACAGUCAUACAGUUGUUACCAUAACGUCAGAUAAGUUACAGUUAUGUUACAGCUGAAAUAUAAUAUAAAUAAAUAUAAUAAAUAAAAACUUACCAUUGUGAAACAUCCCGCUCCAGUGUUUGUUUGGAAGCUCUUGAGCUGGCUUCAUCUGUUUGUAUAUACAAUAUUGAUCAUUAAGUUUGCCAUGUUUUUAUUAAAUGAAAUAUUCUGGGUUUUUUUUUUAGAUUUGACGCCAGUAAACAUUGUCUGUGUGCUGGUUCUAACACUAGCAUGAUGCCUUUUUUUGCUUAAAAAAAUCUGCUUUACGGCAGGACAUGCGUCAUGUAUUGCCAAACUGGUCGGUCAGCCAAUCAGGGACUGGAGCUGGUCCUAAUGAGGAACUGGCCGUGGCAUGAGAUAAUUGAGUCACAAGCACAAUGGCAGACAGACAAAGUUUGGAGACAAGUGAAAAACGGCCUCCCAAAAGAAAACGAGCUCCUCUGUCUGAGGAGGCGAGGAUGCACAAAAAGGAGAGUGAUAAAAGAAGAGGAAAAACAAGAGUAAACCUCAGUCAGGCGUUCAAGACAUGGAGGGAGCUCCGUGACCAAAGAGGCUUCAAAACCGAUGUCCAGCUAGCUUUCUUUCGAAUGGAUGAGUAAGUAACACGGCUAAAUGUUAGCUAGACGAGAGAUGACUGUACUGCACUGGCUGCUAGUUAAUUCCUAGCUGGCCAGCAUUGCAAAUCGCCGCAACCAGGGACCGGGUAGCGAAUGUUGGAUGGCUGACAUCCUCGUUGCCAUUCUACGGCAGCCCUCGGACAGUGAUUACCCCCCCGCCUCCGCCGCCGCUGCCACAGCUACUGGGCACCCAGCCUCUCCGACUGGGAGAAGUGGAGUAAGAUCCUCUCCUCCGCUCCUGUUUGUCUGGUGAACGCCUCUCCUCUGUCAAUACACUCUGCCAGCAAUUUAAUAAUAUUGGUGCCAGUUGUAACAUUUGAAUGUUUCAGUAGUAAGCCAUGUUCUA